GGAGGCUUUAGCUUAAUUAAAGUGUCUGGGUUGCAUCCAGGAGAUGUAUAUUAAGAUUAUACAGGCCUUC
rnacentral:tRNA from 1 species